rnacentral:rRNA from 1 species
CCUGGCUCAGGACGAACGCUGGCGGCGCGCCUAACACAUGCAAGUCGAACGAGAGAUGAGGAGCUUGCUCUUCAAAUCGAGUGGCGAACGGGUGAGUAACGCGUGAGGAACCUGCCUCAAAGAGGGGGACAACAGUUGGAAACGACUGCUAAUACCGCAUAAGCCCACGGCUCGGCAUCGAGCAGAGGGAAAAGGAGCGAUCCGCUUUGAGAUGGCCUCGCGUCCGAUUAGCUAGUUGGUGAGGUAACGGCCCACCAAGGCGACGAUCGGUAGCCGGACUGAGAGGUUGAACGGCCACAUUGGGACUGAGACACGGCCCAGACUCCUACGGGAGGCAGCAGUGGGGAAUAUUGCACAAUGGGGGAAACCCUGAUGCAGCGACGCCGCGUGGAGGAAGAAGGUCUUCGGAUUGUAAACUCCUGUUGUUGAGGAAGAUAAUGACGGUACUCAACAAGGAAGUGACGGCUAACUACGUGCCAGCAGCCGCGGUAAAACGUAGGUCACAAGCGUUGUCCGGAAUUACUGGGUGUAAAGGGAGCGCAGGCGGGAGAACAAGUUGGAAGUGAAAUCCAUGGGCUCAACCCAUGAACUGCUUUCAAAACUGUUUUUCUUGAGUAGUGCAGAGGUAGGCGGAAUUCCCGGUGUAGCGGUGGAAUGCGUAGAUAUCGGGAGGAACACCAGUGGCGAAGGCGGCCUACUGGGCACCAACUGACGCUGAGGCUCGAAAGUGUGGGUAGCAAACAGGAUUAGAUACCCUGGUAGUCCACACCGUAAACGAUGAUUACUAGGUGUUGGAGGAUUGACCCCUUCAGUGCCGCAGUUAACACAAUAAGUAAUCCACCUGGGGAGUACGACCGCAAGGUUGAAACUCAAAGGAAUUGACGGGGGCCCGCACAAGCAGUGGAGUAUGUGGUUUAAUUCGACGCAACGCGAAGAACCUUACCAAGUCUUGACAUCCCUUGACGAUGCUGGAAACAGUAUUUCUCUUCGGAGCAAGGAGACAGGUGGUGCAUGGUUGUCGUCAGCUCGUGUCGUGAGAUGUUGGGUUAAGUCCCGCAACGAGCGCAACCCUUAUGGUCAGUUACUACGCAAGAGGACUCUGGCCAGACUGCCGUUGACAAAACGGAGGAAGGUGGGGAUGACGUCAAAUCAUCAUGCCCUUUAUGACUUGGGCUACACACGUACUACAAUGGCGUUAAACAAAGAGAAGCAAGACCGCGAGGUGGAGCAAAACUCAGAAACAACGUCCCAGUUCGGACUGCAGGCUGCAACUCGCCUGCACGAAGUCGGAAUUGCUAGUAAUCGUGGAUCAGCAUGCCACGGUGAAUACGUUCCCGGGCCUUGUACACACCG